GGGGUCAAUCUUAGAUUCUACUGAAAGACAAGCUAAAGUUAUAUGCUAUAAGGGAGAUGUUUGUGCCUUCCUCAAUCAAUCACAAACAAAGACAAAUGCAAACAAUAGAAUUGCAAACGGAUUCAGAACUUUAGCAGCAUAUGUUAAAGGAGCUGUAAAUCCUUUAUGAACUGUUAGCGUAUACGCCUAACAAUUCAUUGUAGCCUCCCUUGGGAUGAGUACCGACUGGUCUGCUACACAUUUUAUGGAAAUUUUCGCUCUUAAAGUUCUAUAAAAUUAUAAAGAAGAGUCUCUUAGAACGGUUUUGAUUUAGUCUUGUUCAAAAGGGUUAUGAUAGAUUAAAUCCUCACAUUUGAUUUUUGUUUAUUUUUGAUAAAUGUGUGAAAAGAAAAUAAAAUAUUAUAGUAGAAGUAUUUCGGUAGCCUUUUAGGACAUGGGGGCAGAACCCAUUGACUCCACCA
rnacentral:tmRNA from 1 species